UACACUCCUGCGGGAGGCAGCAGUGGGGAAUAUUGCACAAUGGGCGCAAGCCUGAUGCAGCGACGCCGCGUGGGGGAUGAAGGCCUUCGGGUUGUAAACUCCUUUCGCUAGGGACGAAGCUUUUUUGUGACGGUACCUAGAUAAGAAGCACCGGCUAACUACGUGCCAGCAGCCGCGGUAAUACGUAGGGUGCGAGCGUUGUCCGGAAUUACUGGGCGUAAAGGGCUCGUAGGUGGUUUGUCGCGUCGUCUGUGAAAUUCUGGGGCUUAACUCCGGGCGUGCAGGCGAUACGGGCAUAACUUGAGUGCUGUAGGGGUAACUGGAAUUCCUGGUGUAGCGGUGAAAUGCGCAGAUAUCAGGAGGAACACCGAUGGCGAAGGCAGGUUACUGGGCAGUUACUGACGCUGAGGAGCGAAAGCAUGGGUAGCGAACAGGAUUAGAUACCCCUGUAGUCCCAUGA
rnacentral:rRNA from 1 species